AUGCCGUACUGCGAUGCUUGUCGUCUAGGCAAACACACUAGGCUCCCAUUUGUUUCUUCCCAUUCGCAAACUACUUUUCCCUUUGAACUUUGUCACUGUGAUGUAUGGACGAGUCCCGUCUUGAGUGUAUCCGGUUAUCAAUACUAUUUAGUUAUUCUCGAUGAUUUCACUCAUUAUGUGUGGACCUUUCCGGUUCGUCGCAAGUCCGACGUUCAUCGCCUACUCGUUCUCUUCUACGCCUAUGUCCAAACACAAUUUUCUCGCCCCAUUCUUGCCUUUCAGACCGAUAAUGGUCGCGAAUUCGAUAAUCACGCCAACCGCACCCUUUUCGCGUCCCACGGCACACUUCUACGCCUCACAUGCCCAUACACUUCUCAACAAAACGGCAAGGCCGAGCGUAUUCUCCGCACCCUUAACGACGGCGUUCGCACCCUUCUUCUCCAUGCCUCCAUGCCGCCACGUUGGUGGGCUGAAGCCCUAGCUACUUCUUCCUACCUCCUAAACCGGCGUCCAUGCAAACCUCGCCUCAUCACCACACCGUUCGAGUUGCUUUUUGGCCGCCCACCUGAGUUCCGUCACUUGCGCGUGUUCGGAUGCCUAUGCUAUCCCAAUCUCAUCGCUACGACACCUCACAAACUCUCCCCACGUUCGGUCGCAUGUGUAUUCCUUGGCUACCCAGACGAUCGAAAAGGAUAUCGCUGCUACGAUCCAAUCUCGCGGCGUAUCAUUUUUUCUCGGCAUGUUACGUUUGUGGAGUCUGUUUUUCCAUUCAAAACGCUGCCUGAUUCAUCCUCUAUCUCCUCGGAUCUGCCAGAUAAUCCCGCAUCGCUUGAUUACGUAGAUCCCGCCGCCCCUGCAUGGGCGCCGCCCGAGCCGGCCGCUUCAUGCGCGCCACUUGGCUCGGUACCUACCUCCUCGAUUCCAACUAACCCCGCCUCCCCGCCCAUGCCAUCCGGCCCCACGUGCAUGCAAAACUGCCCCGCCUCCCCGCCCAUGCAGCAGCGCCCUUCUCGGUCAACUGCACGUGAGUCUCCUCCCACUCCACCAGCCUCACCACAUGCCUCCUCACGCAUGCAGCCAUGCAGUUCACAAUCCCAUGAGCCACCGGACCCAUCCUGCCCGCGCAUGCAGCAACACAGUUCACAGCGCACUCCGUCCUCCAGCUCUCCAACUCCCCCCGCUGCGCCCGCAUCACACGUCCAUCCGAUGCUUACGCGCGCCCAUCACGGCAUUUUUCAGCCAAACCCACGUUACGCCAACCUGCAGGCGACGACCAUCUCUCCGCUUCCAUCCUCUGUCCGUGCUGCUCUGAAAGAUCCAAAUUGGCGCGCGGCUAUGCAGGUGGAAUACGAUGCUCUCAUGGCUAACUCUACCUGGACACUUGUACCACGGCCGCCUCGCACUCAUAUCGUCUCCGGCAAGUGGGUUUUCCGGAUCAAAACCAACGCCGACGGCUCGCUGGAUCGCUAUAAAGCCCGUUGGGUUGUCCGUGGUUUCGCUCAACGUCCGGGCAUCGAUUUUGGGGAGACUUUUUCUCCGGUGGUCAAACCGGCAACGAUUCGCACCAUUCUCACCUUAGCAUGCUCACGCGGCUGGCCUGUUCACCAGCUUGACGUGAAAAAUGCUUUCCUCCACGGCGUUCUUGAUGAGCAGGUCUACUGCUAUCAGCCAGCUGGGUUCGUCGACGACACUCGUCGUGAUCAUGUAUGUCGACUCUCUAAGUCGUUGUACGGCCUCAAGCAGGCGCCACGAGCCUGGUUUCACCGCUUCGCCACCUUCGCCGCCACCAUCGGGUUCACCGCGUCCCGCUCGGACGCCUCACUCUUCCUACUACGGCGGGGCGGCGAUACUGCUUACCUACUGUUGUACGUCGACGACAUCGUCCUUGCUGCUUCAUCGACGACCCUUCUUCGACACAUCGUCGAUCAGCUUCAGCGCGAGUUCGCCAUGACGGACAUGGGCGAUCUUCACUACUUUCUCGGCAUCCGGGUUCAUCGCACGGCGCGUGGGUUCUUCCUCAACCAAUCCCAGUACGCCGACGAGCUUCUUCAACGAGCCGGCAUGUCUCAGUGUCAUCCUGCAUCUACCCCUGUUGAUACGUCACCCAAGGUUCCUGCUGAUGCUGGCUCCCCGGUGGAUGAUCCGUCUGAGUACCGUAGUCUUGCUGGCGGGCUUCAGUACCUUACCAUGACGCGCCCUGACUUGGCCUACGCAGUUCAGCAGGCAUGCCUACACAUGCAUGAUCCUCGUGACUGCCAUCUCGCCAUCAUCAAGCGCAUCUUGCGGUAUGUUCGUGGCACCUCCACCUAUGGCCUCCUUCUGUCAUCUUCCGCCUCUACGGAGAUCGUGGCUUACUCCGAUGCGGAUUGGGCCGGCUGCCCGGACACUCGACGAUCUACCUCGGGCUAUUGCGUCUACCUCGGCGGCACACUCGUGAGUUGGUCCUCCAAGAGGCAAACCACUGUCUCUCGCUCCAGCGCGGAAGCAGAGUAUCGCGCCGUCGCCAACGCCGUUGCUGACUGCGUGUGGCUACGGCAACUCCUUGAUGAGCUUGGUUGUUCUCUCCCGAAGGCCACGAUUGUGUUUUGUGAUAACAUCUCGGCGGUGUACAUGUCCACCAAUCCAGUGCAUCACAGGCGGACGAAACACAUCGAGCUGGACAUUCAUUUUGUCCGGGAGAAGGUGGCUCUCGGCGACUUCCGGAUUGUACAUGUUCCCACCACUCAACAACUCGCAGAUAUUAUGACCAAAGGCCUCCCGGCAGCAGCUUUUCAAGCCUUCCGUUCCAGUCUAUGUGUCUUGCCAAGCGACGACAGCUCGACUGCGGCGGGGUGUUAG
rnacentral:rRNA from 1 species